ACACACACACACACACACACACAUCCACACACACACACACAUACACACACACACACCACACACCACACACACACACAAACAUAGAAAGGGCAUCAGACUAAUCAGAGAGGCCUACUACACAGCAGGCUAAGGCAGAGCCAAGAUUGGGCCAUUCCUGCUACCCACUGACACCCUAAUGGUCAGUCUCAUGGGGACAACUCAGCAAUCCAAGAUGGUGGGGAAGCCUGUGCCUGACUAGUUUACCUCACCUGAAUUGUGCUUGUCCCUCCAUUAUGUGGGACCUAGUGUGAACUUAGAGAAGAUAAUGUAGGCUGUGUGAGCAGAGAAGUCUCCCAGUGGUUCAUCGCGUACACACUGGGGUGGAGGUACACACCUGUGGGGUGACCCAGCCCCUCUUAAGGACACAGGUAAAAUAUACAUGCCAGUGAUAGGGUCUAAGGACACCUAAGAGGCUUGAGGACGUGAGGAACCUGUGACUCAAGAAACAUGCCGGAAUGGUUCUAAGCACUGGAUCUCUCGAGUCAGACAGACCUCUGUGCUCAGAUCUGGAACCCAAGUUAUGAAAGAGAUUCUUAGAGCCUCCACCUGGGGUCAUGUUAGAAGAGCUGAUGGCCACACCUGGCCCCUUGAUGCUGGCAGACUGUUAUGUUUGCUCUGGGGAUCUUUGCUCUUCUGGCUGUUGGUACUUCAGGCCCAGUUCAACAGCUGAGCAGUCAGGAUUGGAGCAGGGCAGCCAGCAUGCUUCUAGCAGCCAGGAGGGGCUCUUGGAGCUCUCCCAGACUCCACCACUGGGGAGCCAGCAUUUCUGAUGGACCACCACUUCCUGAGUGGUGAGCUGGCCUUCUGCGGGCAGCCAGAGGGACCUCAUGGAACCAACCCAUGGCUCCCCCACAGGCCCAGGGGAGCAGGCAGCUGGUGGGAACCAAGGCUAGGAGGAGACCUGCCUGUUCCUGGGAAUUCAUGAUGUGUCUGCUUGUUGCAAGCAUCCCCGAUAAGGAAGAUUUGUGGGUGAGAUUUGCAGUUCUGUUUUCUCUGAUGGUUAUAAAUCAGCGGCACACACAUCUUCCGCGCAGCAUCCGCUGGAGGCUCACAGGCAUGCACAGGAACACACACGAGUCCCAUCCCUAUUUGAUGUUCUCUGGAGCACAAAAAAGACUUCUUAAGGGAGCAGAACACUGUAGAGGAAAAACCUGGAGCUCCUGGCUGCCACCUAACCUGACAUACAAGACGGAGACACAAGAACCAAAGACACAAGACAGAGAUGGGCAAGAUUACUCAUGUGUGAACUUUCAUUCCAUCUUUGCUCUGCAACUUACUAGCUGUGAGCUCUUGGCUAUAUUUUAAAGCAUCCUGCCUCAGUUUCCCUUGUUUCUGAGGUGAGGCUACUUAUGGUAUUGUUUCAUGGCAUAGUUGAAAGAAUACAAUAGGGGCUGGAGAGAUGGCUCAGCGGUUAAGAGCACUGACAGGCUCUUCUGAAGGUCCCGAGUUCAAAUCCCAGCAACCACAACCAUCCAUAAUGAGAUCUGAUGCCCUUUUCUGGGGUGUCUGAAGACAGCUACAGUGUACUUACAUAUAAUAAUAAAUAUAUACAUCUGAAAGAAAGAAAGAAAGAAAGGAAAGAAAGG
rnacentral:lncRNA from 1 species